rnacentral:rRNA from 1 species
AGCAGUAGCCGCGGUAAUACGUAGGGUGCGAGCGUUAAUCGGAAUUACUGGGCGUAAAGCGUGCGCAGGCGGUUAUAUAAGACAGAUGUGAAAUCCCCGGGCUCAACCUGGGACCUGCAUUUGUGACUGUAUAGCUAGAGUACGGUAGAGGGGGAUGGAAUUCCGCGUGUAGCAGUGAAAUGCGUAGAUAUGCGGAGGAACACCGAUGGCGAAGGCAAUCCCCUGGACCUGUACUGACGCUCAUGCACGAAAGCGUGGGGAGCAAACAGGAUUAGAUACCCGUGUAGUCCCUGUCUCUUAUAC